AAGUCCCGCAACGAGCGCAACCCUUAUCCUUUGUUGCCAGCGGUCCGGCCGGGAACUCAAAGGAGACUGCCAGUGAUAAACUGGAGGAAGGUGGGGAUGACGUCAAGUCAUCAUGGCCCUUACGACCAGGGCUACACACGUGCUACAAUGGCGCAUACAAAGAGAAGCGACCUCGCGAGAGCAAGCGGACCUCAUAAAGUGCGUCGUAGUCCGGAUUGGAGUCUGCAACUCGACUCCAUGAAGUCGGAAUCGCUAGUAAUCGUG
rnacentral:rRNA from 1 species